CCUUACAUCUCAUGAGCCAGCUCUACCUGCAGGGAUUCCAGAGAUAAAGUCAUUUAACUGAAAGAAAGAAAGGAGGAAACGAAGGAGGGAGGGAGGGGAGAUAUUGGAUAGGUAACCCACAGUCACACACGGUACAAAGUGUAGCUACUUUGCCUGCAAACACCUAGGAGCAGACAGGAAAUUCAUUCUGCUCAAUGGUGGUAAAGGGCAGGGUCUCAGCCACCAAUCCCUACGGAGCCAGGUGUGACAGCAGGGAGUGGUGGGGAUUGCGGCAACCUGGAGGGUCCAUGCCUGUGCCUGUCUCCAGGAGCCUCUGCUCAUCACUCUGGCUGAUUGUUGGAACCAGACCUACUGAUCCCAAUUUCUUGUUGUUUUUUUUUUUGUUUGUUUGUUUGUUUUAAAGAGCAUCAGGCAAUCUAGAUUGUAGAGUGUGAUCUCUUCGUUUUUAAACGCUGCUUUCGCAGCUACUAAAAAAAAUUUUUAAACAAUGUGGGUGACAAAUAAAAUCAGCAGGAUUUGACCCAGAGUGAGGGGUGGGGCUGUUUCCUGUUUAUAAUCCUCUGAUUAUAAACAGGAAAAUAAAAUAACUGCACCUCAUGGGAUUAUCUGAUGAAAUGUGUGUAUCACUUGUCAAGCGGGAAGAGAGAUGAUUCACCAAACACAGUGAAACCCACUGAGGUUGAAAGAUGUUUGAGACUGGGUGGCUGCGGGGGCGGCCAAGCGAGGGGUCCCUGGGCCCCCCACUCAGCCCUCCUUGUCUGCUAUCACCACCCACAUCUCCCAACCUCCCUAGAGGUGCUGGGGCCAGGCCACGUGAAGAGGGGGUGAAGGUGGAGGGUUGCACCAAAUCAUUUCAUGAGUGCCUCGGGUGAGGGCGAAACCUGAUCAAGUCCCGGCCUGCGCUCCCACAGCCAGCGCCUUCUCCCACAUUCGGGGUGUAUUCCUUUGGGGAUGAGCCAGGUCUCAACCCAGGGGUCUGGGAUCUCAGGGCCCACAACCCACACAGAAUCGGAGGUCAGCCGGCCUGACCUGGAGGAGAAAGUUCUAGAGAAGGGGGUUCAGGGUUCCGGCUCUCUGGCUCUCACAGCUGAGGCCAAAACGUCAGGCGCCACACCAGUAUCUCGGCUUGCCAUUUCGUCACCAGCUGAAUGCCAGUCGCAAACACAACCCAGUCUGUUGUGAGCACAAAGAGUGUUCGGGAUAACCCUGCUGCCUGCUGUGUGGACACAGCUUCCCGCCAGCAUCAAGGCAGCUCAACAAACAAGGCUAGGGAAUGCGCCCCCAACAGAGGUCCACUGUCUGCCCCGACGCCCGCCUUCCAGGGAGAGCAUUCCAGUAGCUGACCUAACCUUCUGGGCAUUGGCAGAACUCCCAAGAACCAAUUGCGGGCGGUUCUCUACCCAUCGUGACCAACCGUCCUCGUUUGCCUGGGACUGAGGGGGUUCCCAGGCUGUGAGACAAUUUUUUUUUUUUUUUUUUUGAGACAGAGUCUCGCUCUGUCACCCAGGCUGGAGUGCAGUGGUGCGAAAUCGGCUCACUGCAACCUCCGCCUCCCAGGUUCAAGCGAUUCUCCUGUCUCAGAACUGGGAUGGGUUCGCCCUUCAAUCUCCACCAUUGCUUUCCACAGACAGCCUCAUUUCCAGGGAUGGGGAAGGAAAACCUGUAACUGCCUGCAAAGGGGUUAGAGAGUGCUGGUGUCUUCUCAGGGAAGGCUGAACACCACCCUUCUCAGGAAAGACUUAGAAUCGGUCCAACCUACAGAAAACCACCAGCAGCCACGGGGCAAGAGUUUUACACCCAACCGAAAAUAAACAGUCAGUACCCUCAUGGGAGAAUCUCACUUUAGAGGUAUUUAUUUUUUAAAGUUGCUUUUGUUUAAGAUCAUUCCCACUUGGGCUGAAUUUUCCUCUUGUUCUUGGCACAAGGUGCAAGGAAGUCUAUGUAGCAUAAUCCCAAGUGGGUUUAGAAACAAAACAGAACUGGAGAUGGGUAAUCAUGUGCUCGUGUACGCAGAGUGCAGGGCCACACACACCCGUAAACAGCAGGCCCUCUGCAGAGGGGGAUUGGGGAACUCGGGGGCAGCAGACCUUUAUGUUAGACUGUCCUGUCUUGCUUACCUUUGUUCACCAAUUUUUGAGACCGGAAAGCUAUAAAGCAGAACUGAAAUUUCUUAAAACGUAACACUCUUCUUACUGAAUGCUCAGCAGGCAUUCGCGAGAAUGGGUGCUGAACAGGUGGGAUAUAUUGGUCAGUGAAGAAAGCAGGUUGCAGCAUGGAAUAUAGAGGAUAAUUGCAAGUCAAAAAAACAGAUCUACUGGUUGCAGAUAUUUGUACACGUGUAGAAGAAAGUCUGGAAGAGUUCACACCAAGACCUGAACUGAUGUUUAUACCUGGGAGAGGGAACAUGAAGGCAUAAACUUGUAAUUCUAAAUCCACCCUCUUCUGUUUGGGUUAACUUUCUUCAUCCAGAGAACACGUACUUCUUUGUUUUUGGUUUUUUGUUUUUAAACAGUAUAUCUUGAAUGUCCAACUAACAGCAGGUGGCCUUCCUUUUAAUAAAAACCUAAGGUGUGGAAACUCCAAGGUUCACAGAUCUGUAGGAAUGACAGGGUUCCUUCCAAUGGGCCAUCUCUCUGGUGCAAAAUGGGACACAUUUUACACACCUUUUCAAGAACAAAUCCCUUGUGUAAUUAAUUAAGCCUAUAAUUAUAGACCAAUCUUUAAAAAUGUAAUUUGUAGUUUCCCCGUAAUACUUAUUUCAAAUCUGACUUCUGAUGUGGGCUAAAUUAUAUUGGAACCAAUUUUUACUACGUGGAGACUCAGGAUAAACCAGGCUUCAUUUGAUUGAUUUAAAUAUAUUGUGGUUUCCAUGUUUAUUACUCAGUAGUAACUGGUAUUUAUGGAGCCAGGCUGCAUACCAGACCCUGGACAUGGGACUCCGCAGUUAAUUUUUUUUUUUUUUUUUUUUGCCUGGAUUUGAUAUCCCAAAGCAGUUCAUUUCAUUUAAACCUCACAGCAACCUUCUGGGGGCACUUACUGCUCUUACUCUUUUAAGGGAACAAAGACUCCUGAGAGGAAACUGAUGUACCCAAAAAGCAAAAGGCAAGGGCUGGAGCCCUGAUCUGAAUCUGGGGUCUAUGUCAAGGUCACAGUGCUUGGACAGACACAUUUACUUUGUCCUGGUUUUUCUUAAUUCCUUAUUCACUGUUUCUCUUCCUUCUUAGGGUCAACAGUGUUACACGACACGUUUCUGCUUGUGGCAUUUGAAAAAAUCUCUGGAUUAGAGUAGGAUCCCCUGCGUAGGAGUCAAAGAUGUGAGGAUUUUUAAAAAGAGAGACAUGGGGUUUGACCUCUCCCAGCCACCUCUUUCCAAACAGCUCUUGGGUGACCAGGUGCACGGUCAAUGAGCGGGUCUGACGGUCCAUCUGCUCUUUUGUCUUGUGGGAAGAAAGGAUGACUCAAGUCCUCUGCACUCUGGUGUGUCUGUAGUUGUGGAUUCUCUCCUGGCUGUUUAAAGUAUAGGCACACCUUGGAGAUACUGUGAGUUUGGCUCCAGACCACAGCUAUAAAGUGAAUAUGGCACUAAAGUGAGUCAUGAGCAAUUUUUGGUUUCCCAGCGCAUAAAAAGUUAUAUUCACACCAGGCUAUAGUCUAAGUGUGUAAUAGCAUUAUGUCUAAAAAGACAAUGUACAUACCUUAAUUUAAUUAAUUUGUUUUUAAAAUUAUUAUUGUUAUUAUUAUUGAGACCGAGUCUCACUCUAUCACCCAGACUGGAGUGCAGUGGCGCAAUCUCAGCUCACUGCAACUUCUGUUUCCCAGGUUCAAGCGAUUCUCCUGCCUCAGCCUCCCAAGUAACAGGCACCCACUACUGCGCCCAACCCGUUUUUUUGUAUUUUUAGUAGAGACAGGGUUUCACCAAGUUGGCCAGGCCAGUCUUGACCUCCUGACCUCAAGUGAUCCACCGGCCUUGGCCUCCCAAAGUGAUGGGAUUAUAGGCGCGAGCCACCCUGCCGGGCCAAUUUUAAACUACUUUACUGCUAAAAAAUGCUAACAAUGGUCUGAGCUUCCAGACAAUCUUUUUGCUGGUGAAGAGUCUUGCCUCAAUAUUGGUGGCUGCCGACUGAUCAGGGUGGCAGUUGCUGAAGGUUGGGGCCAC
rnacentral:lncRNA from 1 species